UCAAAAACGUUUUAAUUUUAUGUAAUCAGAAUUGUCCGGCUUAUCUUUUGGGAUCCUCUCUACUUUCGUUUGGUCAUGAACUAUUCCCCUGUUCGUAGGUCUGAAAGCCUGCUGGACAAUUCUCUCUCCACUCCAGUCCGUCUUCCAGUGGAUCCUUGUAUGUUGCUGCAAUAUAUGGUAUUAUGUGUUUCACACAUUAGAAGUGUUCUGCUCGUCAUCACUGACAUGGAUGCUGCACCCCUGCAAUGAAUUUUUUGAGGAUUCUGGAGAAGGAAAGCACAUCGAGGCCUAGAUGGCCCAGAGUUAUUUCUAGGAGGAAGGACACCCAACCCUGAUAAUCAGGGUUUUGUUGAUGGAGCUGCUAUUAUGAGUCCAUUCCAGUGUUCGAUACCAGUGCCAGCUGCUUGAGAAUGAUUCUGGAGAUAGAAAACCUCUGGGUGACAGCAGAUCCAGUGUCGUACCUGUCCUGUGGUAAAGUCAGAGGCAGUGAUGCGAGGGAUUCCAUAAGGAGGAAGGACAUGUUUUAUAAAACCUUGGUUAGUGGCUGCCAUGGUAGCAGACUUAACUGGCACUGCAGUGCCAUAUCCUGAAUUGAAUAUCAAUUACAGUAAGGGAACCUUCUUACCUAGAGGUUGGGAAAGAGGGCCAAUAGAUCAUUUUUGCCAGUCAAAGGCAAGUCAGGAACCAUGUGGGAUCAUCCCAUACCAGUCUUUCAGAGGUGGAUGCUCUGAUUGAUACUAGGGGGAGAAUCAUUGAACAGAAGUAGAUGCCUCAUCCUUACUUAAGGGGAUCAUACGGUCCUGUGCCCACCACAGCAUGGCAUCAUAGCUCCCAUAGCCAAAAUGAUGAUGGACCCCAUCCUGACACAUUACAAGUGCUUAGUAAGUGUUUUUUGCUUGCCUGCCUGCCUGCUCAUACUCCAUGCUGUCAUUCCCAGAAGAGCCUCAGCUUGACUAGGCAGCUCACUUGAGGUUGUUUGGUGUUUCUAAUACGCGCUAAUAUUCCCCAUAUAGAACAUCACAGUGGGAUAGACAUCAGCCAAAUUGGUGCUGACCCCAAAGAGGAGAACUCUUGAUUGUCCAGUUCUCUUCUUUCCAAACCACUUAGCUAACUCCAUAGCCACUGCCCAUGAAUCACUAUAGAUGAAGACCUUGCCUGGAUCCCAUCCCUCAAAUUAUCCCCCAUUGCUGGAUGAGUAGUUGCCAACAUUCAAUUAACCAUGCUGAGCUGCCAAUGAACCAGGAGAAGUGGGGUUCCUCAAGGGAGGCAAGAAAAAGAGAGACAAGACGACUUUGUAUCCCUCAGUUUGGAGAGGACGUCUCUGGACCAAGGCUGACCCUGUAUUAAUCAUUUAAUUAACCAGGCCUGCAUUGGU